rnacentral:rRNA from 1 species
UACGGAGGGUGCGAGCGUUGUCCGGAAUCACUGGGCGUAAAGGGCGCGUAGGUGGCGCGACAAGUCAACGGUGAAAGCUCGGCGCUCAACGCCGAGUCGGCCGUCGAUAUUGUUGGGCUUGAGCACUGUAGAGGCUAAUGGAAUUCCGGGUGUAGCGGUGGAAUGCGUAGAGAUCCGGAAGAACACCGGUGGCGAAGGCGGUUAGCUGGGCAGUUGCUGACACUGAGGCGCGACAGCGUGGGGAGCAAACAGG